GACGAACGCUGGCGGCGUGCUUAACACAUGCAAGUCGAACGGAAAGGCCCUGCUUUUGUGGGGUGCUCGAGUGGCGAACGGGUGAGUAACACGUGAGUAACCUGCCCUUGACUUUGGGAUAACUUCAGGAAACUGGGGCUAAUACCGGAUAGGAGCUCCUGCUGCAUGGUGGGGGUUGGAAAGAUUCGGCGGUUGGGGAUGGACUCGCGGCUUAUCAGCUUGUUGGUGGGGUAGUGGCUUACCAAGGCUUUGACGGGUAGCCGGCCUGAGAGGGUGACCGGCCACAUUGGGACUGAGAUACGGCCCAGACUCCUACGGUAGGCAGCAGUGGGGAAUAUUGCACAAUGGGCGGACGCCUGAUGCGGCAACGCCGCGUGCGUGAUGACGGCCUUCGGGUGGUAAACCGCUUUCGCCUGUGACGAAGCGUGAGUGACGGUAAUGGGUAAAGAAGCACCGGCUAACUACGUG
rnacentral:rRNA from 1 species